rnacentral:ncRNA from 2 species
CCUUGUUAUGGCAAUGAUGUCUGCCUUGAACCGCCUUAUAAAGCUGAUGACGUCUAUAAAGAG